CCUACGGGAGGCAGCAGUGGGGAAUAUUGGACAAUGGGGGCAACCCUGAUCCAGCAAUUCUGUGUGCACGAAGAAGGUUUUCGGAUCGUAAAGUGCUUUCAGCAGGGAGGAAGGAAGUGACUGUACCUGCAGAAGAAGCGACGGCUAAAUACGUGCCAGCAGCCGCGGUAAUACGUAUGUCGCGAGCGUUAUCCGGAAUUAUUGGGCAUAAAGGGCAUCUAGGCGGCCGGGUAAGUCCGGGGUGAAAACUGCUGGCUCAACCAGCAGCCUGCCUUGGAAACUACCCAGCUGGAGUGCUGGAGAGGUGGACGGAACUGCACGAGUAGAGGUGAAAUUCGUAGAUAUGUGCAGGAAUGCCGAUGAUGAAGAUAGUUCACUGGACGGCAACUGACGCUGAAGUGCGAAAGCUAGGGGAGCGAACAGGAUUAGAUACCCUGGUAGUCCUAGCUGUAAACGAUGAUUACUGGGUGUGGGCAUGAAGAGUGUCCGUGCCGAAGCUAAUGCGAUAAGUAAUCCGCCUGGGGAGUACGGCCGCAAGGCUGAAACUCAAAGGAAUUGACGGCUGCUGCCUCCCGUAGG
rnacentral:rRNA from 1 species